UUUGACCUCGGAUCAGGUAGGAAUACCCGCUGAACUUAAGCAUAUCAAUAAGCGGAGGAAAAGAAACCAACAGGGAUUGCCCUAGUAACGGCGAGUGAAGCGGCAACAGCUCAAAUUUGAAAGCUGGCUCCGGCCCGCAUUGUAAUUUGCAGAGGAUGCUUCUGGCAAGGUGCCUUCCGAGUUCCCUGGAACGGGACGCCAUAGAGGGUGAGAGCCCCGUAUGGAUGGACACCAAGCCUGUGUGAAGCUCCUUCGACGAGUCGAGUAGUUUGGGAAUGCUGCUCAAAAUGGGAGGUAAAUCUCUUCUAAAGCUAAAUACCGGCCAGAGACCGAUAGCGCACAAGUAGAGUGAUCGAAAGAUGAAAAGCACCUUGAAAAGGGGGUUAAACAGUACGUGAAAUUGUUGAAAGGGAAGCGCUUGUGACCAGACUUGCGCCGGGCGGCUCAUCAGGGGUUCUCCCCUGUGCACUCCGCCCGGCUCAGGCCAGCAUCGGUUCUCGUGGGGGGAUAAGAACAGUGGGAACGUGGCCCCCCUCCGGGGGGGUGUUAUAGCCCAUUGUACGAUACCCUCGUGGGGACCGAGGUUCGCGCUCCGCAAGGAUGCUGGCGUAAUGGUCAUCAGCGACCCGUCUUGAAACACGGACCAAGGAGUCGUCCAUUAGAGCGAGCGUUUGGGUGUAAAACCCCCACGCGUAAUGAAAGUGAACGCAGGUGAGAGCUUCGGCGCAUCAUCGACCGAUCCUGAUGUCUUCGGAUGGAUUUGAGUAAGAGUUUUAACGGACGGACCCGAAAGACAGUGAACUAUGCUUGUAUAGGGUGAAGCCAGAGGAAACUCUGGUGGAGGCUCGCAGCGGUUCUGACGUGCAAAUCGAUCGUCAAAUAUGAGCAUGGGGGCGAAAGACUAAUCGA
rnacentral:rRNA from 1 species